CAGGGAGACAACAAAAUGUUUAAUAUUAUUAUUUUGUCACCUUAGGUCGAUCGGUAUCUCACGUUUUUAAUUUAUUAAGAAUUUCAUUUCCUAAGUUUUUCUAGGUCACACCCAUUAUUUUUCCUGGGCCAUUAGCUCAGGUGGUUAGAGCGCACCCCUGAUAAGGGUGAGGUCCCUGGUUCAAGUCCAGGAUGGCCCAUAUCUCUAUGUUGGGGGUAUAGCUCAGUUGGUAGAGCGCCUGCUUUGCAAGCAGGAUGUCAGCGGUUCGAGUCCGCUUACCUCCACUGAUCACCACCUCUUCCAUAAUCGGUAGAAAGGAAAUUUUUUGAGUUGUGAUCAAAUUCUGAAAGAAUCUAGCUUCCUAAUGACAUCAUUAAGAUGCUGGACUCAUUGAAUUAAUUUCAUUGUUUUCAGAGAACCUUGACAACUGCAUAGAUUAUUUUUAAAGACAAUAAGCAUCUUUAAUGAUGCAGAUUUAUUAUUUGUGCAAAAUGCAUUAAUAACAAUUCUAUUAAGCUGAUGCUUCAAUAUUUGAAGUUAUU
rnacentral:tRNA from 1 species